GAGCUCCAUCAUUAGCUCACCGAAUAAAGCAGCCUCGAGACGCCAAAGGGCGCAUAUCUCACCAUGAAAGCUCCGGAAAGCACAAGGGGGCGGGCGAGACCUUCCCCCCAACCUUAGUGACAGACUUUACUUCCCACGUCCGAGCCCCACAAGCCGCUCGAACUCGGAAGUCGGGGGGUAGUGUUGGGGGGAAUAAAGUUUCCCCCCAAAUGACAUAAAUGCCCCUAAGAAGCCG
rnacentral:lncRNA from 1 species